AGAGUUUGAUCCUGGCUCAGGAUGAACGCUGGCGGCGUGCCUAACACAUGCAAGUCGAGCGAGACUCCGGCAGAAGAGACUUCGGUUAAAUCAGUCGGACGAUAGCGGCGGACGGGUGAGUAACGCGUAGGCAAUCUGCCCCGUACAGAGGGAUAGCCGUUGGAAACGACGAGUAAGACCUCAUGAUGCAGCACUUUCACAUGGGAGAGCUGCCAAAGAUUUAUCGGUAUGGGAUGAGCCUGCGUCUGAUUAGCUGGUUGGUGAGGUAACGGCCCACCAAGGCGACGAUCAGUAGCCGACCUGAGAGGGUGAUCGGCCACAUUGGAACUGAGACACGGUCCAAACUCCUACGGGAGGCAGCAGUGGGGAAUAUUGCACAAUGGAGGGAACUCUGAUGCAGCAACGCCGCGUGAAGGAUGAAGGUUUUCGGAUCGUAAACUUCUGUCCAUGGGGACGAAGAAAGUGACGGUACCCGUGGAGGAAGCCCCGGCUAACUACGUGCCAGCAGCCGCGGUAAUACGUAGGGGGCGAGCGUUAUCCGGAAUUAUUGGGCGUAAAGAGUGCGUAGGUGGCCCACUAAGCGCAGGGUUUAAGGCAAUGGCUUAACUGUUGUUCGCCUUGCGAACUGGAGGGCUUGAGUUCAGGAGAGGAAAGUGGAAUUCCUAGUGUAGCGGUGGAAUGCGUAGAUAUUAGGAGGAACACCGGUGGCGAAGGCGACUUUCUGGACUGAUACUGACACUGAGGCACGAAAGCGUGGGGAGCAAACAGGAUUAGAUACCCUGGUAGUCCACGCCGUAAACGAUGAGCACUAGGUGUCGGGGCCGUAAAGGCUUCGGUGCCGCAGUUAACGCAAUAAGUGCCCCGCCUGGGGAGUAUGCACGCAAGUGUUAAACUCAAAGGAAUUGACGGGGACCCGCACAAGCAGCGGAGCAUGUGGUUUAAUUCGAAGCAACGCGAAGAACCUUACCAGGACUUGACAUCCCCCUGACAGGGCUUUAAAAGGCCCCUUCUUCGGACAGGGGAGACAGGUGGUGCAUGGUUGUCGUCAGCUCGUGUCGUGAGAUGUUGGGUUAAGUCCCGCAACGAGCGCAACCCUUGCCUUUAGUUGCCAUCAUCAAGUUGGGCACUCUAGAGGGACUGCCGGGGACAACUCGGAGGAAGGUGGGGAUGACGUCAAAUCAUCAUGCCCCUUAUGUUCUGGGCUACACACGUGCUACAAUGGCCGGUACAGCAGGAAGCGAAGCCGUGAGGCGGAGCGAACCCCAAAAGCCGGUCCCAGUUCGGACUGCAGGCUGCAACCCGCCUGCACGAAGUCGGAGUUGCUAGUAAUCGCGGAUCAGCACGCCGCGGUGAAUGCGUUCCCGGGUCUUGUACACACCGCCCGUCACACCAUGGAAGUUGGUGGUGCCCGAAGUCGGUCAACAAAUCUACUGCCUAAGGCAAAACCAAUGACUGGGGUGAAGUCGUAACAAGGUAGCCGUA
rnacentral:rRNA from 1 species